UACGUAGGUGACCAGCGUUGUCCGGAUUUACUGGGCGUAAAGAGCGCGCAGGCGGUCGUUCAAGUCGAGUGUGAAAGCCCCCGGCUCAACUGGGGAGGGUCAUUCGAUACUGAUCGACUCGAAGGCAGGAGAGGGAAGCGGAAUUCCCGGUGUAGUGGUGAAAUGCGUAGAUAUCGGGAGGAACACCAGUGGCGAAGGCGGGCUUCCUGGCCUGUUCUUGACGCUGAGGCGCGAAAGCUAGGGGAGCAAAGCGGGG
rnacentral:rRNA from 1 species